UACGAAGGGGGCGAGCGUUGUUCGGAUUUACUGGGCGUAAAGGGCGCGCAGGCGGCGGACCAAGUCAGGCGUGAAAGCCCCGGGCUCAACCUGGGAGGUGCGUCUGGGACUGGUAUGCUAGAGUUCGGGAGAGGAGCGUGGAAUUCCCAGUGUAGAGGUGAAAUUCGUAGAUAUUGGGAAGAACACCGGUGGCGAAGGCGGCGCUCUGGACCGAGACUGACGCUGAGGCGCGAAAGCGUGGGGAGCAAACAGG
rnacentral:rRNA from 1 species